GCCCCUACGUACUACGUCAUGACGCUAAGUACGUAGGGCAAAUCUCCGCAAGACCACACUCCUGCGCAGAGACGGCCGGAUCACGUGAAGCGUCCGUGGCGGCCCAACCCUGGCAGAGGGUGCUGGCGCUUCCUGCUGGACGGAGGGAGUUUCUGCAAUCAGAAUUAUCUUUUCAGGACAAAGCUUGGACCUGAGACCUUUCCAAGAAGUCUUGAAUUGACCACGUUUACAAGUUGAUAAAACAGAAAGUCUCCGGUGUGCCAGCAUGGACCCAAGAUGGAGUCUCACUCUGUUGUCCAGGUGGCGUGAUCUCGGCUUACUGCAACCUUCACCUCCCAGGUUCGAGCGAUUCUCCUGCCUCAGCCUCCCGAGUAGUUGGCAUUACACAAAGGCGCCACCACGCCCAGCUAAUUGUUAUAUUUUUAGUUGAGAUGGGGUUUCGCCAUGUUGGCCAGACUGGUCUCAAACUCCUGACCGCAUGUGAGUCACCUGCCUCAGCCUCCCAAAGUGCUGGGAUUACAGGUGUGAGCCACUGUGCCUGGCCCCGCUGAGUGCAUUUUCUGUGUAGCCAAACCUACUCAGGAAACCAAGCCAUUAUCAGAAGGUUGCUUGAUGAGCACGUAUUCUGAACAAGUGGAGUUAUAUGUAUAGACUUUUCUUGAGUCAUCUAUCUUCGCAACAGGACAAUUUUGUCCCGAAAAUAGAAGUUCUCCAUUUCCAAUGGCUGCAGUUUUCCACAUUGAUCUCCAAUGUAGUGGGGACAUCCUGCUGAGCUAUUGAUUUGUGCUCCUUGUCUCCUUAGCAGCACUUGGAUGGCCACUGGCCCUAAAGUGCCCCCUGUACGUUACUUUCUCUGUUUCCAUGGCUACCCAAACCUCUUUGCAAUAUUAUUUCAAUAAAAAUCAAGUUACAGUUAAAUCAAA